rnacentral:lncRNA from 1 species
GUUCUUUUUACCCAGCAAAGUGCCUCCUCCAAGGUCCGCGAACCAUUGAGGGUUUUUGGGGGGUUUCAGGGCUGGGAGUAGAGAGAGCAUGAGUGAAGAUUGGACCACUCCCAGGACUAGACCAGAGAAUAGGAGAUUGCUGCUUACUGACUAUUAUAUUCCUACUACUCGACCUCUAGUAGGUGCACCCAUCUCUUGAGCAGAGACCCAAGAGGGCAGGACAGGAAGAAUGGAAGUGAGAUUUGGCCCCGGUCAUGUUUUCCAAAGUGCUGACAUCAGGAAAAUAAUAGAAGUUAACGCAGAUAUGGGGCUGCCACUGAGGAGAGAGAAGACUGAAAGAAGCAUAUAGAUAAAAGAUUAUCUGAGUAGGCUGAACCAUCGGUGAAAAGGAGGCCAAGCAUCUCAAAAAUAGGACACGUGAGAGUAUGGAGCCAAUGUGACACUCAGAUUUGACACAUACAGAAGCGUGAAAAACUCUUGUGUGACUGGGAUAGCUCCUCUGCAAUGAGAACAUGCCUGGGAUAAUGUACUGAAAAGAUGUGAGAAAUACAUGAAGCAGAGUCCAGUCAUCCCAGCCAAGAACCAGCUGUGAAUGUAACCGCAUGACUUUGAGGCAAGUCCAGACCAAGAACAAAGAACCACUGGUCUUAAAGACAGACCUGCAGAUUCCUGAGCUAAAUAAAAGUUUAUUGUUGAAAGGCACUGAGUUGUUUUUG